rnacentral:tRNA from 1 species
AGGAAAUAGCUCAGUAGUAAAGCUCAUGAUUUGUAAACAUGAAGCCUUGGGUUUAAUCCCCAGUUCCUA